GACGUAGGGCGCGAGCGUUGUCCGGAUUUAUUGGGCGUAAAGAGCGCGUAGGCGGUCCGGUAAGUCGGUUGUGAAAACUGGGGGCUCAACCCUCAGAGGCCGACCGAUACUGUCGGGCUAGAGUCCGGAAGAGGCGAGUGGAAUUCCUGGUGUAGCGGUGAAAUGCGCAGAUAUCGAGAGGAACACCUGCGGCGAAGGCGGGUAGCUGGGCCGACACUGACGCUGAGGCGCGAAAGCCAGGGGAGCGAACGGG
rnacentral:rRNA from 1 species